UCCCUGGUAGUAUAUCGGUUAGUACACGCGCCUGUCAUAAUGAAGGGAAGAAGUUUUCACCAUUGAACGCGCGAAAGCUGGGUUCGACUCCCAGCCAGGGAG